GACCCCAUGCCGAACUCAGAAGUGAAACGCCGUAGCGCCGAUGGUAGUGUGGGGUCUCCCCAUGCGAGAGUAGGGAACUGCCAGAC
rnacentral:rRNA from 5 species